UACGUAGGUGGCAAGCGUUGUCCGGAAUUAUUGGGCGUAAAGCGCGCGCAGGCGGCCUCUUAAGUCUGAUGUGAAAGCCCCCCGGCUCAACCGGGGAGGGCCAUUGGAAACUUGGAGGCUUGAGUAUAGGAGAGAAGAGUGGAAUUUCCAACGUGUAGCGGUGAAAUGCGUAGAGAUGUGGAGGAAACACCAGUGGCGAAGGCGACUCUUUGGCCUAUACUACGCUGAGGCGCGAAAAGCGUGGGGAGCAAAACAGG
rnacentral:rRNA from 1 species